rnacentral:rRNA from 1 species
UGCAACUCGGCUGCAUGAAGCUGGAAUCGCUAGUAAUCGCGGAUCAGAAUGCCGCGGUGAAUACGUUCCCGGGUCUUGUACACACCGCCCGUCACACCAUGGGAGUCGGGAAUGCCCGAAGUCAGUGACCCAACCGAAAGGGGGGAGCUGCCGAAGGCAGGCCUGGUAACUGGGGUGAAGUCGUAACAAGGUACC